UAGCUAGAAGAGGUCAACUGGAGAAGUGUGUGUAUGACAUCACCAGGUCAAAGGCAUAAAGUCUUGGCUACAAUUAUUUCACAUUCUGGGCUCCAUUUACUUUUGAGAUACCCCAGACACACAUCCAUGAUUCCCUUCUUUUAUCCAAGGCAUUGAUAGUAUUAAACCGAGGAUGGACCAGGGACCUCGGGACUCAAGACUGCAGUCUGCCACAUCCUAGUGUGCCA